CGGGGGGGUGCGAGCGUUAUUCGGAUUUACUGGGCGUAAAGGGCGCGCAGGCGGUCUCUUAAGUCAGAUGUGAAAGACCCGGGGGCUCAACCCCCGGAAGUGCAUAUGAAACUAAGGGACUUGAGUAUGGGAGAGGGAAGUGGAAUUCCUGGUGUAGCGGUGAAAUGCGUAGAUAUCAGGAGGAACACCGGUGGCGAAGGCGACUUCCUGGACCAAUACUGACGCUGAGGCGCGAAGGCGUGGGGAGCAAACAGGAUUAGAUACCCUGGUAGUCCACGCAGUAAACGGUGAACACUAGGUGUGGCGGGUAUUGACCCCUGCUGUGCCGCAGCUAACGCAUUAAGUGUUCCGCCUGGGGAGUACGGCCGCAAGGCUA
rnacentral:rRNA from 1 species